CGUAGGGUGCAAGCGUUAAUCGGAAUUACUGGGCGUAAAGCGUGCGCAGGCGGUUUUGUAAGUCAGAUGUGAAAUCCCCGAGCUCAACUUGGGAACUGCGUUUGAAACUACAAGACUAGAAUAUGUCAGAGGGGGUAGAAUUCCACGUGUAGCAGUGAAAUGCGUAGAGAUGUGGAGGAAUACCAAUGGCGAAGGCAGCCCCCUGGGAUAAUAUUGACGCUCAUGCACGAAAGCGUGGGGAGCAAACAGGAUUAGAUACCCUGGUAGUCCACGCCCUAAACGAUGUCUACUAGUUGUUGGUGGAGUAAAUCCAUGAGUAACGCAGCUAACGCGUGAAGUACGACCGCCUGGGGAGUACGGUCGCAAGACUUA
rnacentral:rRNA from 1 species